CCUACGGGAGGCAGCAGUGAGGAAUAUUGGUCAAUGGCCGGAAGGCUGAACCAGCCAAGCCGCGUGAGGGACGACUGCCCUAUGGGUUGUAAACCUCUUUUAUAAGGGAAGAAUAAAUGCUACGUGUAGCAUGCUGCCUGUACCUUAUGAAUAAGCAUCGGCUAACUCCGUGCCAGCAGCCGCGGUAAUACGGAGGAUGCGAGCGUUAUCCGGAUUUAUUGGGUUGAAAGGGUGCGCAGGCGGAGGCACAAGUCAGCGGUGAAAUCGCGGGGCUCAACCCCGCUCCGCCGUUGAAACUGUGUCCCUUGAGUGCGCGAAGGGUAGGCGGAAUGCGUGGUGUAGCGGUGAAAUGCAUAGAUAUCACGCAGAACUCCGAUCGCGAAGGCAGCCUACCGGCGCGCAACUGACGCUCAUGCACGAAAGCGUGGGUAGCGAACAGGAUUAGAUACCCUGGUAGUC
rnacentral:rRNA from 1 species